GUGCGGUGACACGGGGGCUGCGGUCCGCUAGCGCGGGCCGUGGCUGAGAUGAGGAUGAGGAUCCUCGACCGAACGAACGUGAAUCCGGGUAAUGCCGGCGCACGGAAGUCUCUCUUUCCCGUGC
rnacentral:ncRNA from 1 species